GAUGAACGCUGACAGAAUGCUUAACACAUGCAAGUCAACUUGAACUUCGGUUUGGGUGGCGGACGGGUGAGUAACGCGUAAAGAACUUGCCUCACAGAUAGGGACAACAUUUGGAAACGAAUGCUAAUACCUGAUAUUAUGAUUAUAUGGCAUCGUAUAAUUAUGAAAGCUAUAUGCGCUGUGAGAGAGCUUUGCGUCCCAUUAGCUAGUUGGAGAGGUAACGGCUCACCAAGGCGAUGAUGGGUAGCCGGCCUGAGAGGGUGAUCGGCCACAAGGGGACUGGGACACGGCCCUUACUCCUACGGGAGGCAGCAGUGGGGAAUAUUGGACAAUGGACCAAGAGUCUGAUCCAGCAAUUCUGUGUGCACGAUGAAGUUUUUCGGAAUGUAAAGUGCUUUCAGUUGGGAAGAAAAAAAUGACGGUACCAACAGAAGAAGUGACGGCUAAAUACGUGCCAGCCGCCGCGGUAAAAC
rnacentral:rRNA from 1 species